UUAAGGGCGCACGGUGGAUGCCUUGGCACUAGAAGCCGAUGAAGGACGUUACUAACGACGAUAUGCUUUGGGGAGCUGUAAGUAAGCUUUGAUCCAGAGAUUUCCGAAUGGGGAAACCCAGCAUGAGUUAUGUCAUGUUAUCGAUAUGUGAAUACAUAGCAUAUCAGAAGGCACACCCGGAGAACUGAAACAUCUUAGUACCCGGAGGAAGAAAAAGAAAAUUCGAUUCCCUUAGUAGCGGCGAGCGAAACGGGAAGAGCCCAAACCAACAAGCUUGCUUGUUGGGGUUGUAGGACACUCUAUACGGAGUUACAAAGGACGACAUUAGACGAAUCAUCUGGAAAGAUGAAUCAAAGAAGGUAAUAAUCCUGUAGUCGAAAAUGUUGUCUCUCUUGAGUGGAUCCUGAGUACGACGGAGCACGUGAAAUUCCGUCGGAAUCUGGGAGGACCAUCUCCUAAGGCUAAAUACUCUCUAGUGACCGAUAGUGAACCAGUACCGUGAGGGAAAGGUGAAAAGCACCCCGGAAGGGGAGUGAAAUAGAACCUGAAACCGUGUGCUUACAAGUAGUCAGAGCCCGUUAAUGGGUGAUGGCGUGCCUUUUGUAGAAUGAACCGGCGAGUUACGAUUUGAUGCAAGGUUAAGCAGUAAAUGUGGAGCCGUAGCGAAAGCGAGUCUGAAUAGGGCGUUUAGUAUUUGGUCGUAGACCCGAAACCAGGUGAUCUACCCUUGGUCAGGUUGAAGUUCAGGUAACACUGAAUGGAGGACCGAACCGACUUACGUUGAAAAGUGAGCGGAUGAACUGAGGGUAGCGGAGAAAUUCCAAUCGAACCUGGAGAUAGCUGGUUCUCUCCGAAAUAGCUUUAGGGCUAGCCUCAAGUGAUGAUUAUUGGAGGUAGAGCACUGUUUGGACGAGGGGCCCCUCUCGGGUUACCGAAUUCAGACAAACUCCGAAUGCCAAUUAAUUUAACUUGGGAGUCAGAACAUGGGUGAUAAGGUCCGUGUUCGAAAGGGAAACAGCCCAGACCACCAGCUAAGGUCCCAAAAUAUAUGUUAAGUGGAAAAGGAUGUGGCGUUGCCCAGACAACUAGGAUGUUGGCUUAGAAGCAGCCAUCAUUUAAAGAGUGCGUAAUAGCUCACUAGUCGAGUGACACUGCGCCGAAAAUGUACCGGGGCUAAACAUAUUACCGAAGCUGUGGAUUGUCCUUUGGACAAUGGUAGGAGAGCGUUCUAAGGGCGUUGAAGCAUGAUCGUAAGGACAUGUGGAGCGCUUAGAAGUGAGAAUGCCGGUGUGAGUAGCGAAAGACGGGUGAGAAUCCCGUCCACCGAUUGACUAAGGUUUCCAGAGGAAGGCUCGUCCGCUCUGGGUUAGUCGGGUCCUAAGCUGAGGCCGACAGGCGUAGGCGAUGGAUAACAGGUUGAUAUUCCUGUACCACCUAUAAUCGUUUUAAUCGAUGGGGGGACGCAGUAGGAUAGGCGAAGCGUGCGAUUGGAUUGCACGUCUAAGCAGUAAGGCUGAGUAUUAGGCAAAUCCGGUACUCGUUAAGGCUGAGCUGUGAUGGGGAGAAGACAUUGAGUCUUCGAGUCGUUGAUUUCACACUGCCGAGAAAAGCCUCUAGAUAGAAAAUAGGUGCCCGUACCGCAAACCGACACAGGUAGUCAAGAUGAGAAUUCUAAGGUGAGCGAGCGAACUCUCGUUAAGGAACUCGGCAAAAUGACCCCGUAACUUCGGGAGAAGGGGUGCUCUUUAGGGUUAACGCCCAGAAGAGCCGCAGUGAAUAGGCCCAAGCGACUGUUUAUCAAAAACACAGGUCUCUGCUAAACCGUAAGGUGAUGUAUAGGGGCUGACGCCUGCCCGGUGCUGGAAGGUUAAGAGGAGUGGUUAGCUUCUGCGAAGCUACGAAUCGAAGCCCCAGUAAACGGCGGCCGUAACUAUAACGGUCCUAAGGUAGCGAAAUUCCUUGUCGGGUAAGUUCCGACCCGCACGAAAGGCGUAACGAUUUGGGCACUGUCUCAACGAGAGACUCGGUGAAAUCAUAGUACCUGUGAAGAUGCAGGUUACCCGCGACAGGACGGAAAGACCCCGUGGAGCUUUACUGUAGCCUGAUAUUGAAAUUCGGCACAGCUUGUACAGGAUAGGUAGGAGCCUUUGAAACGUGAGCGCUAGCUUACGUGGAGGCGCUGGUGGGAUACUACCCUAGCUGUGUUGGCUUUCUAACCCGCACCACUUAUCGUGGUGGGAGACAGUGUCAGGCGGGCAGUUUGACUGGGGCGGUCGCCUCCUAAAAGGUAACGGAGGCGCUCAAAGGUUCCCUCAGAAUGGUUGGAAAUCAUUCAUAGAGUGUAAAGGCAUAAGGGAGCUUGACUGCGAGACCUACAAGUCGAGCAGGGUCGAAAGACGGACUUAGUGAUCCGGUGGUUCCGCAUGGAAGGGCCAUCGCUCAACGGAUAAAAGCUACCCCGGGGAUAACAGGCUUAUCUCCCCCAAGAGUUCACAUCGACGGGGAGGUUUGGCACCUCGAUGUCGGCUCAUCGCAUCCUGGGGCUGUAGUCGGUCCCAAGGGUUGGGCUGUUCGCCCAUUAAAGCGGUACGCGAGCUGGGUUCAGAACGUCGUGAGACAGUUCGGUCCCUAUCCGUCGUGGGCGUAGGAAAUUUGAGAGGAGCUGUCCUUAGUACGAGAGGACCGGGAUGGACAUACCUCUGGUGUACCAGUUGUCGUGCCAACGGCAUAGCUGGGUAGCUAUGUGUGGACGGGAUAAGUGCUGAAAGCAUCUAAGCAUGAAGCCCCCCUCAAGAUGAGAUUUCCCAACUUCGGUUAUAAGAUCCCUCAAAGAUGAUGAGGUUAAUAGGUUCGAGGUGGAAGCAUGGUGACAUGUGGAGCUGACGAAUACUAAUCGAUCGAAGACUUAAUC
rnacentral:rRNA from 1 species